GAUCUAAAAUUCUAUAUUCUCUAUUGAUCAAUUUUAUAGCUGGCUGUAGCGGGGUGGUCACCCACUCCUGCCUUAAAAGGCUUAAAACAGCUCGGGGAGAGGGCAGUGGCAGGGAGAGAAAAGCGGGGCUGAUUGAGGAAAGCAGCCUCAGCUGGGGGCCACACCACAAUCAGGCCAAGGCUGGCUUAAUGAGGGCCCAGCUGGCCCUUAUAAGAGGGCUGGGGCCAGAAACCAGAGACAGACUCUCUCUAGGUUUGAGAGGGAGGGAUCUGGCUUCAGGGAGCUGAGAGAAGAUUAUUUGGGAGCAGGCAACACUCACCUGUGUGCCCAGGUGCCUGAUGAUGUCAACAGUAAAGGAGAUCUUGAGCAUCCCAGUGGUGAUACUGGACAGAGUUCUAGACGCUUGCAUGGGCGUACUGGCUGUCAAAGCUGAGGACAGCACUCUGUUGGUCCAGCAAAGUAGUCCAGCCACAGCAACAUGGGGAGAGCAAUUCUAACUUGGGAUCAUUUCAAGCUGCACAACCCCUCGGAAGAUCCCAGCUGUUAUAGCCAGAGGUCAGUAACCCCAGAUCUUGGUUAGACAAUAUGACCACUUCAUAUCUUCUCAGACUCAGAGAAACCCCUUAAAGUCUCUUUGCUGCCUCCCUUCCCCUGCAAACACUUUCCCGAACAACAAAGGUGGUGGUUACCCAGACUGCCGUCACUCAAGGCCAACCUCAGCCAGUUCCGGGCACUGGGCUGUUGCUGUGAAGCCCAGCAGUUGCCUCCGUGAGCCUCCCUGCUUGAUCAAAGAGCCAGCGGCUCCUGGGAUGGACAGAGCUCCACAGAGCAAUCGCAGCUCCCUUGACCAGCAUCCCAGCUCCUCACCAAAACAGAGCCCAGUGCAUGCUCCCCCUGCAUCCCCUGGAAACAGAAGUCUCUCUCUUUUGCCAAUGGAAGUUGUAGUCUCCAAGGCUGGCUUGCACUACUCAGGGCCUUCCUGACUGGAACACUCCCACUUAAGCUCAGAGGCCCCUCUAGAGAAGCAUCACUAUGUUGACAAGCUAAGACAAGAGACACAAUAAAAGAAUACUUUUAAAAUGUUUCAACUUUUAGAGCAGCAGCUGGAUCAACCGUAGGCGGUCAGUCCACUUGUUCUGACAGAGAUGUGGUCUAGGCUGCUGAGGGAGACUGAUGGAAUGAGAGAAUAUAAUUUAGCUAGCAAUGAAAAUGACUUCUCAGUGAUCUUCAGCAUUUCUCUGCGAUACAUUGUAAACCUGUCCAGGGAUGAUUUAUGAGUAACCUCUCUGACAACUGAAAUUGAAAACUAACAGAUCAAGCAUUUGAAUAUCUACAAACUUUGGGAAACAAUUGUGAGUGUCUCCUGAAAGAUGGAGGGGCAGAUUGUGGCAGGUCCCAUGCUGGCAUUGUAACUGAGGGAGAAGGACUGACACUUUAAAAUAAACCUCCUGUCCCUUGAUAAUCUGUGUUGAGGCCAAUCAUGUCCGUUAGUUCAAGGGCCAGACAAUCCAGUGCCACGGCUCCACUCCCGCUUCUGUAUCAGUCAGCGGAACCAUGGUGCAUCCUUUUAAAAGGUAUCAGAGCUCCCACUCCGACCUGUGCUUCCCCAGUGACCCAAGGAAUUCUGGCUGUGAAUCAGCCAAAUGCCUCUGGGGACACCUGCUGGCAUGGGCUAUGUCCACAGCCCCUGCUUAAUGUUCACACGGAGCCCUGGUGGUGCUUUGUAGAGGCCUAUUUUGUUUACAUUUCACUUUCCUUUUCCAACCAAUAUAUUGUAGAUUUGAGAAAAUCUUGAUCCCCACCCCUAAAGCAACUGAAGAAAUACAGACUGGAUCCAACUUCUGCCCCAUGCUGGACAAGGGCACCACCACAAGACCAACAGUCAGUUAUAUUUAAAGUAGUGGAAUUUCCCAUUGCUUGAACUUGUAGGACAGGUGUUACCAAGGCUGAGCUGAGUUGUUCAAUUUUCAAAAGCUGCAUUAGCUUUAUGAGUUUCCCAGACACCAUGAUGGGCUGGGGUUUGUUCCUGAAUGGAGAUGUGUUAGAACUUAAGAACUAACCCAUUAGUGCUUGUCCUGGACUACUUGAAUCAAUGGAGAGGGUAGUGUGACCCUUCCAGGGGCAGCUCUAGCUUUUUU